GCAUGGGAUGUGCAAGCUUGACGAAGUAUUCUGCGUGAGGGAGGCCGGCCUCUGGGUAACAAAUAUUUCUCAGCAGGGAGGCCGGGAAAUUUACGAUCUCUGGAGAAAGGCGCCGGCAAAUUACUGCCAGCCGCCGGGGUAAUAUAAGGGGAGCAAGGGUUUCCCGGAAUUAAUGGGGUAAAGGGGUUCUUGGGGGGUUCGUCAGUUUUGCUUUGAAAUUCUGGGGUUCAACCUGGGACUUCCAUUGGUUAUGGUCAGACUAGAGUGCGGUAGGGGAGAUGGGAAUUCCUGGUGUAGCGGUGGAAUGCGCAGAUAUCAGGAGGAACACCAACGGCGAAGGCACAUCUCUGGGCCGUAACUGACGCUGAGGAGCGAAAGCAUGGGGAGCAAACAGGAUUAGAUACCCUGGUAGUCCACGCCGUAAACGGUGGGCGCUAGGUGUGGGGUACAUUCCACGAGAUCCGUGCCGUAGCUAACACAUUAAGUACC
rnacentral:rRNA from 1 species